UCCCUGGUGGUCCAGUGGUUAGAAUGCCACACUUCUACUGCAGGGAACACGGGUUCCAAUCCUGGUCAGGGAA
rfam:Ovis aries breed Texel chromosome 9, whole genome shotgun sequence.